UACAGAGGGGGCAAGCGUUGUUCGGAAUUACUGGGCGUAAAGGGCGCGUAGGCGGCCUGUUAAGUCGAACGUGAAAUCCCCGGGCUCAACCCGGAAACUGCCAUUGAUACUAUCUGUCUUGAAUACCGUGGAGGUGAGCGGAAUAUGUCAUGUAGCGGUGAAAUGCUUAGAUAUGACAUAGAACACCAAUUGCGAAGGCAGCUCACUACACGAAUAUUGACACUGAGGCACGAAAGCGUGGGGAUCAAACAGG
rnacentral:rRNA from 1 species